GUGAGGUUCAACCUCCAGGGGAAAAGGCGACGGUCAAUUCAUUAAUAUCGGCAAAUUUCGGGGCGGGAAAGAGAGAUUGUUAAGUUAAGAUCUAGUCUCUUGGGAGAUAAAAUACACGGCGCCCGGAAGAACUUAUUUCCUUUCUUAGCUUGUGCGAGAGUCACUGCGCGGGACUAUACGGACUAGUAAGAUAGACUCUCUUCCCAGUACUAAUCGAUAUCAAGGGGCGUGGCGCUUGCUUACUCCUUAGAGAAGAAGGUCUUGAGCCUGUAAAGGAGAGCUUGGAUGGCAGGAAGCUCGACGGAUAAGUUUAGGGUAGAUGGCGGGAAGUGCUUUGGGAGAGGAUGGAAUCUUGAUUUCCCUAGAAGGCUGAUUGCGACAAGGUCUGCAAGAGAGGACUACUUUAGAUUAAAACUGAAAGAAGAUACAACCGAACCGUGGACAUAUAAUAUAAAGGCUAUUUCCAG
rnacentral:misc_RNA from 1 species